CCUACGGGUGGCAGCAGUGAGGAAUAGUGGUCAAUGGACGCAAGUCUGAACCAGCCAUGCCGCGUGCAGGAAGACGGCUCUAUGAGUUGUAAACUGCUGUUGUACGAGGGUAAACGCAGAUACGCGUAGCUGUCUGAAAGUAUCGUACGAAUAAGGAUCGGCUAACGCCGUGCCAGCAGCCGCGGUAAUACGGAGGAUGCAAGCGUUAGCCGGAUUUAUUGGGUUUAAAGGGUGCGUAGGCGGUCGGAUAAGUUAGAGGGGAAAUCCCGAGGCUCACCUUCGGAAUUGCCUCUGAUACUGUUCGGCUAGAGCGUAGUUGCGGUAGGCGGACUGUAUUGUGUCGCGGU
rnacentral:rRNA from 1 species